AAGAUGCCCUGGAGAAAGGCUCUACCGGUCUUUCUAGGUAGGAAAUAUCUGUGAUUCUAGGUAGAAAUUUCUUUUAACUACAACUGAUUUAAAACAUUUUUUUCUUUCUGUCUUUAUUUUUUCUUCUUCUCAUUUCUUCCCCUCCUCCCCCUUCCCAGUAUUCUUCGGCCCUAAGAGUGGCCGGGCUUGGCUCUGACCACCCACAUCCGUAUCCUUUUAAUUUGCAGCUUUGGGUAGCCGUGAAUGGAAGAGGAGGCUGUGAAUUAGAAGUGAGGCUGCCUUAGGCCACCAGCCUGGGAAGGAAGGAGGGGGGCACCGGGUGUGAUUGAUGGAGGCCUUCUGGCUGACACUGCCCACUGCCUCACUCCUCCUCCCUUCACUGAGACAGUCAGCAAGAGCAUCUGGUUUAAAAAGAACCGAGGAGUGUUGCAGAGAUGGUGAAAUGUUAGGAUUCCAUAGCCAGGAGGGAGUGAUGGAGCUGAGAAGAAUGGCAGAGAAGGAAGAAAUGGUGGCUAUGACAAUAGUAAGAACCUUAGACCUCUCUUUUAGUGUUUGUUCAGAUGUUAGCAUCCAAGCAUUGCACCAUGGAGAAAAGAGAAGGGAUCAACUAGAGACUAUUUCCCUUGCUAGUCUCUAGCAUCCUUCCUUAAGUGAACAGAGAUUUCUUCUCCACUGUUUGGGAAGAUAGAGGAAUGAACUGGGGAGCUGAGAGCCAUUUGGGAGUGGGCAUCAAGAGCAAUCAAUAGUUUCCCCAUUUCCUUAUUAUUUACUUAGCUCUAUUGCUAAUGAACUGCUUUUUGCUCUGAUUUAAUGAACUGUCUAGUCUGGUUUGGCUCAUAUUUAUUGGAUGGGGGCUCUGGGUGUAGCUUGAUGUAUCUGAGUAGAGCACCUUAAUGGGCUUGUGCUACAGUAGAAUGGUAGAGCUGGGAAAUACCUUAGAGCAGAGGUGACAAACUCAAGCAGAAAUGGGUGUCACUAGACUGUACACAGGGGCAGCUCAGCUAACAAAUCAGAUAGAGAACGAGGCUUGGAAACAGGAAGGCUCUUUUUCAUGAGUUCAAAACCAGCCUCAGAUACUUCCUAGUGGUUGUAAUCAAGAGAAAUGGCCAAAAGCGGUGUCUCUCCCAUUAUUACACGGUGUGACUCUGCCUCAGUUUCUUCAUCUGUUAAAUGAGCUCGAGAAGGAAAUGGCAAACCACUUUGGCUCUUUUGUGAAGAAAACCUUCAAUGAGAUCACAAAGAAUUAGACACAACUGAAAAAUGACUACACAACAUCAAACAUAUAUAAGGAUCCCUGGGGAUCCCAUACUGACUUAGAAACCCACACAUAAACAUUAUUUAUGUUUUAUUGUCUUUUUAUUUAUCUUGUUAAAUAUGGUUAACCUUCUACAUUGUGGUUAGGGGUGUGAUGCCCUACAGUCUGGAAAAUCUGCAUGCAUUUUUUUUGCCCCUCCCAUUGUGCCGGAGAAGAAGUCGGAAUUUUUUUCUUUUUCCUUUAUGGGAUGUUCACAAC
rnacentral:lncRNA from 1 species